rnacentral:tRNA from 1 species
GGGAAUGUAGCUCAGUUGGUUAGAGCGUCACAUUGACAUUGAGAAGGUCAGAGGUUCGACUCCUCUCAUUCCCACCA